rnacentral:rRNA from 1 species
AGAACGAACGCUGGCGGCAGGCUUAACACAUGCAAGUCGAACGCUCGUAGCAAUACGGGAGUGGCAGACGGGUGAGUAACACGUGGGAACGUACCCUUCGGUUCGGGAUAACACAGGGAAACUUGUGCUAAUACCGGAUACGUCCGAGAGGAGAAAGGUUUACCGCCGAGGGAUCGGCCCGCGUCUGAUUAGCUAGUUGGUGAGGUAACGGCUCACCAAGGCGACGAUCAGUAGCUGGUCUGAGAGGAUGAUCAGCCACAUUGGGACUGAGACACGGCCCAAACUCCUACGGGAGGCAGCAGUGGGGAAUAUUGGACAAUGGCGCAAGCCUGAUCCAGCCAUGCCGCGUGAGUGAUGACGGCCUUAGGGUUGUAAAGCUCUUUUACCUGGGAAGAUAAUGACGGUACCAGGAGAAGUAAGACCCGGCCUAACUUACGUCGCCAGCAGCCGC